CUUAAAUAUGUAAAACGUUCCUGUAAUUUCGCGUGUUUUUGCAAAUCGUCCUUGUAUCUUUUUUUGUUUCAAAAUCAUCCUUGUAAGUUACUAGCCGUUUGCAAUUCGUCCCUCCCGUUAACUCCCGUUACAAAAACGUUGUGGUGGCAGACGGAGACACACGCGGCGAAGUGUGAGUUGGCAAAAGCUUGCUUAUGUGUCAAGAGAGAUGAUGAGUGGUUAGAAAGGAGGGACCAAAACCAAAAACGCAAAAUUGCAGAGGGAUGAAAUUAAAAAAACAUACAUUUUGUUCAUUCCUCUCCCUCUAUUUUUUCUUCUUCAU
rnacentral:lncRNA from 1 species